UACUGAGGUGUACUCCCCUCACAUCCUUCCAGCUGUGAUGCCUGUGCUCCUUCUCCUCCCUAAGAGAUCAUGGAAGAUGGCAAGCACCCUGCCCACCCUUACAGAGGCCGGGAGAGCAGAUGAUGACUGGCAGGUGAACUCUCACCCACAUCCGGCCCACCCUGUCUGGUACCUCUGACUCCCACUGACUUUUCCACCAGGUGCUGCCUAGCCCAGCUGUUGACUUAACUGACAUCUGGAGCACAGUCCAUCUGGCUCCCAGGAAAAGAUCCACCCACACCCUCUCCCACAUCACUCGGGGAUUGAGACAAAAGUCACCUGCCUGAGGCCUACAUGGCUAGGGUGGCUGCCCUCUGGGAGUGGAAGGGAAGCUGCCAGUUUCGGUCUCUACUGAUAAGGAGUGAGGGAAACAUGGUCAGUCCCUGAAGGAGAGGCAACUCCCAGCCCACUUGCUUUUCAGUGCACAAAGCCCAGUCAUGAAAGCCACUGACUUUAUUGAUCUAAAAAACUUUACAAGGACAGUGACUGUUCUGCCAAAAAAGGAGCCAAAUGGUAUCAAACGGAUUGAAAGUGAGGGUGGGGGUGAGGGAUGGGGCCGGGAAUCCAUUCAGGAAAGCUGGUAACUGUCACCAGGGAACUGGCAAGGGAAAAAGGACGGGGGAGGCAUGCAAGAGCGAGAAUCCAAAAAAAAGUUGAAAUGGUUAGGGGAGAAAACUCCCAAAAGACCCCGGAGUACGUCGGAGGUGAGUACGACAAUAGCAAUCUUUUCCUUCGUAGAGGACAGGGGAGGAGUCCCUACUCGGCUGCAAACUCUGGAUGAGGGCUGGGGAUUGAGAGCUUCCCAGAGAGCAUCACAAGAAGGCGUCGCACCACUCUCGAAGGCAUCCGAAGCAGUCCCGGGACUGCUUGGCGUUGGCGCCACAAGUGUCUUUCAGCCAUUCCCGGAAGAGGUCUUCAUCUUUCUUUAGCACCAGAAACUGGCCAAGGACAACAUAGGCCUGCAAAACAGGGAAAAGGAAGGAGCGUGCUGCUCAGUGCUCAGUGAGAGAUAAGAGCAAGACAGCCAUUCCUGUGCCAUUCAGAGCACACAAGCCCAGGAAGCAGCGCGGGUUUUGCCCCCCUCUCCUCUCCACCAGGUGCCCAGGCUCUGGCAGCCUCUUCAGAUUAUACCUUACUGUCCAUCCCCCAGCAGAUGGAAUCACUUCCCUUCCACCCCCCGCUUGCACUAGGUACACGCAGCCACCCCACACCUUGUCAAAACCCCUUUCCUCCAGCUUCUUGCCCAGGACUUCACCAAUCCCAGCCAGGCUCCCCACUGGCUUCUCCCCCAUGGGCUCUGCCACGAAGUCUCGGUGCUUUUGGGAGGUUGUCAUCUUGAUCAGGCUUAAUCUAGGAAUCCCAAAAAAAAGGCAGAUUAGGGCUGAAGACCUGGAACUUCUAAGGGCCCACGAGCAAUCUCAUAGUAAGAGGAAGCCAAGCCAGGGGUUACAGUGGCUUGCUCGAUCCCCCUCAUCCUGAAAGGAGAAAACAGUUCCAGGGAGACUCUUCCCUACUAUUUUUAAGAGGAGUUUCUUCCUGCAGGACCUGGAUUUUGAUCUUGCCCCAGAGGAAAAACGAUCCUGCCUAACAGGUGGCGCAAGCGGGGCAGUGGAAAGAUGCCCAGAGUCCGUAGCCAGGGCUGCGCGGAAGCUAUCACUCCCUCUGUGACCUUGGCUGAACCAAGACGACACUGCCUGCCUGGAACGGCCACUUGGCGUGGAAAGCUAACCAAAGGGUCUCUCUACCUACAGGGCGAAGCGCACACCUAGCGCUGCGCACACCCGCUCCCCGCCCGCGGGGUUCACGCCGCGCCCCAGCUCCGCCCCCACCGCGCUAGUUUGUCUCCGGCUGUAGUGUGUUGCCAGACUGAACUUCUCUGUUGUGUGACUAUGCUAGACUUGGGGUGUACAAGCGUGUUGAGAAAGAUACGGUUUAUUUCAAACUCCUUCCAGAGAGGUUGCCAGGAUGACUUCUCUGGAGCAUGCGUAUAGUUUUAUAUUACACUAGUACUUAAGAUUAUAGGAGUUACUUUUUUUUUUUUUUUUUUUUUGAGACGGAGUCUUGCUCUGUCGCCCAGGCUGGAGUGCAGUGGC
rnacentral:lncRNA from 10 species